rnacentral:rRNA from 1 species
GCCAGACUCCUACGGGAGGCAGCAGUGGGGAAUAUUGGGCAAUGGGCGAAAGCCUGACCCAGCAACGCCGCGUGAAGGAAGAAGGCUUUCGGGUUGUAAACUUCUUUUCUCAGGGACGAAGAAAGUGACGGUACCUGAGGGAUAAGCCACGGCUAACUACGUGCCAGCAGCCGCGGUAAUACGUAGGUGGCAAGCGUUAUCCGGAUUUACUGGGUGUAAAGGGCGUGUAGGCGGGACUGCAAGUCAGAUGUGAAAACCAUGGGCUCAACCUGUGGCCUGCAUUUGAAACUGUAGUUCUUGAGUACUGGAGAGGCAGACGGAAUUCCUAGUGUAGCGGUGAAAUGCGUAGAUAUUAGGAGGAACACCAGUGGCGAAGGCGGUCUGCUGGACAGCAACUGACGCUGAGGCGCGAAAGCGUGGGGAGCAAACAGGAUUAGAUACCCCAGUAACA